AUUCAAUAUUAAGACUUGGAGGGAAUUGGGGAAAGAAAAGAAAGAAUCUAAAAGAAGAGAAGCGACCGGUGCUUUUAAGGGUGCCUAAUUUUCAAAAGAGACGUCUGGGAGUAUUUUGCUCUGGGCGUUUGGAGCAACUUCGCGGACAGCGGAGCUCGCCCAGCAUGGAUGUUCCAGGUAACCACCCCCGACCUGCCCUCCCCUCCGCAUGCAAGCGCCUUCUGCGUGGAUUUUAACCAAGACUCUCCCUGGUCCAGAUCGAGGGGUGGGGGAGGUGGCGAGAGAGAAGAGAAAUCAUGUAGGAUCGGGGCUGCGGACAGCGGAUAUUUAUCAAGAGCCAACUUCUCUGUUCUUAGAAAGAAUAUUGGAAGAGUUAAUGGGAGGCUGUGGGCGGCGAGGGGGCGGCUUCUCUGCGAGUCUCUGGGCUGGUAUUGAAAUGGCCUGUCUGCUUUCCUGGGAGGAGCGGGGACCGGGCAAAAGUGCAGACGGGCGCGUAAGUUCGCAGAAACCUGCAGGGGCUGCCGCCCCGCUGAGAAAGAGAGAAUCCCCGUGGUCUGGAAACCAGAGCUGGAGAAUAAGCCAAGCCUGGGAUUCCGUCGUUGGAAUCGGUCCUUCGCCUAAGAGAGGAAUCCCAGGGGUUUCACCAAGGGGGCUCGCUAGUGGCUGCAGGGACCUUGGAAGUGGGUGUUUGGUUUUACUGCCGGUGUGUGUGUGUAUGUGUGUGUGUGUGUGGUGUCAUUUCCCCCCUAUUAAUCUUAUUCGCCCCAAGGAGAUUCCUGGGAUUUGUUCUGUGGGUGGAAAAUAGAUAAAAUCUGUACCAAAGGGACUUAAAUGGACUUUAAAAACAUCUCGAGGAUUGAAAAAUAGAGGAUAGCAGGGAAACAAGGGAAAGGAAAAGGGUUCCUUGGUGCUGCUCCAAGGAAAUGCUGUGAGAUGAAGACGAGAAGGCAAGCAUUCGUAGGUUUUUCUUUGCCUGCGUCUUAGCCCCCUCCGCGCUGGUGAAUGGGCGGGGUGGCGGUGACGCCUUCUGAGGGUCUCGGGGCCCGUCUUAGCGACGAGGACCUGCAGAAGCGCGGCCCCCUCCCUCGUCGCAGCCCCGCGCGCCGCUCGGGAGCCUUCAGGGAUGCGCUGCCAGCUGCGCCCGGGCGUUUCUCCGGACCUGUUGUGCCAGAUCGGAAAGCGGGUUGGCUGUGCGCGGGACCAAGGGGGUGGCCUUCGGGGAGAACCCCCGAGCCGCAGGCACCUGCUCCCAGUCCCCCUUCUUCCCGGUGGCUCCACCUCCCGGUGUAAGGCUUUGGGUUCUGUGCCCUGACAGGUUCACAGGCGCCUUUCUUCUGAGAACGACCCUGGCCUUGAACGUCAGAGCGGGG
rnacentral:lncRNA from 1 species